rnacentral:tRNA from 2 species
GCCCCCGUAGCUCAGAGGAUAGAGCAGCGGUUUCCUAAACCGAAGGUCGCACGUUCAAGUCGUGCCGGGGGCG